rnacentral:rRNA from 1 species
AGCUUGCUGCUUCGCUGACGAGUGGCGGACGGGUGAGUAAUGUCUGGGAAACUGCCUGAUGGAGGGGGAUAACUACUGGAAACGGUAGCUAAUACCGCAUAACGUCGCAAGACCAAAGAGGGGGACCUUCGGGCCUCUUGCCAUCGGAUGUGCCCAGAUGGGAUUAGCUUGUUGGUGGGGUAACGGCUCACCUAGGCGACGAUCCCUAGCUGGUCUGAGAGGAUGACCAGCCACACUGGAACUGAGACACGGUCCAGACUCCUACGGGAGGCAGCAGUGGGGAAUAUUGCACAAUGGGCGCAAGCCUGAUGCAGCCAUGCCGCGUGUAUGAAGAAGGCCUUCGGGUUGUAAAGUACUUUCAGCGGGGAGGAAGGGAGUAAAGUUAAUACCUUUGCUCAUUGACGUUACCCGCAGAAGAAGCACCGGCUAACUCCGUGCCAGCAGCCGCGGUAAUACGGAGGGUGCAAGCGUUAAUCGGAAUUACUGGGCGUAAAGCGCACGCAGGCGGUUUGUUAAGUCAGAUGUGAAAUCCCCGGGCUCAACCUGGGAACUGCAUCUGAUACUGGCAAGCUUGAGUCUCGUAGAGGGGGGUAGAAUUCCAGGUGUAGCGGUGAAAUGCGUAGAGAUCUGGAGGAAUACCGGUGGCGAAA